rnacentral:lncRNA from 9 species
GCAGCAAGGAAAGAGCUUAAGCCCGAAGCAUUGGAAUUGGUGGCAAUGAAGACAAACUCCCUCUGGAUACACUUCCAACAGAUGCCAACAGAGCAGCUGGAGAGAAAGAUAUAAGAACAGCAAAGAUUUGACAAGUCAAACGACAGCCUCAUCCUCUCUCUGUCUUGAUAGCCAACCGCUCCUUCUGUGUUCCCUCUUCCUUUGCAAAGUCUUUGCCGCAGAAGGCGGUGUCCAGCCUUGUGACAUCACGGCUGCAGCUCUUCAAGGCGACUGCGGCGCUGAGACAGCCAGCCCGUACACGCGUUAAAAUACGCAUUUGCAGCAAAUGAAAGGAAGUCACUUCAUUCUUUCCCAGGGGAGCAAGAAAGGAGGACUUGGUUAAAAGAGUGGGUCAACCGCCGAGGAAACUGUAACCUCAGGUUUUCAGAAUAAGUAACGUCUCCGUUCCCGACUCGGUUCAGGGCCUCAAGCCCUCCCGCCUGCACCUGCCUCUCUCCUGGAGCUUGGAGCGUUUGCCCACGGGCUCUAAUUUAUCAGGGAAAUAAGGCAGCAGGGGUGUUUUCAGGUCUGUUUGCAGACAGAGAGUGCGUCCUGCGAAAGGGCUGGUCUUAUUCAACGGCCUGAGGUCUGCCUUCAGUAGGAUCAUGAACCAAAAACGGACGAAAUGAAACAACAGUCUUUCGCUGGAAACCAAUUUUCACCAGCUCGUAAAAACACAGAUUUCCGUUUUCUUCCUGUCUAGACACUGCAAGUCCCAAAAGGAUUUGAGGCCGAGAAAACACAGCGUGGGUCUCCAGGGCCAGCCCGAGCCCGGGGUCGCCACGUUAUCCUCGCCAGCAGAAAGGACUGUCUGCCCAGAAACUGCUCGCAAAACCCUGUGGUUGCUGAGCUGCUGGGGUCUGGGGAGCGGCGGUGAGGCAGGCAGUGACCUUGCACCAAGGUGGGCUCGACCUCCUCGGGGAAGGCGCCUGGAGAAGGAGGACGAGGCCGGACUCCGCCUUCGAGGACGGGCCAGCCCGCGGGCACCCGCAGAGGUAGGCACGUUUUCUGCACGUCAGGUGAUGGGAGGCGGAGGGCAGCCCGGCGUCCAGGGAGCCUGAGGAUGGAGACUUGGAGACCAG